rnacentral:rRNA from 1 species
UGGGGAAUUUUGGACAAUGGGCGCAAGCCUGAUCCAGCCAUGCCGCGUGCGGGAAGAAGGCCUUCGGGUUGUAAACCGCUUUUGUCAGGGAAGAAAUCUUCUGAGUUAAUACCUCGGGAGGAUGACGGUACCUGAAGAAUAAGCACCGGCUAACUACGUGCCAGCAGCCGCGGUAAUACGUAGGGUGCAAGCGUUAAUCGGAAUUACUGGGCGUAAAGCGUGCGCAGGCGGUUUUGUAAGACAGAGGUGAAAUCCCCGGGCUCAACCUGGGAACUGCCUUUGUGACUGCAAGGCUUGAGUGCGGCAGAGGGGGAUGGAAUUCCGCGUGUAGCAGUGAAAUGCGUAGAUAUGCGGAGGAACACCGAUGGCGAAGGCAAUCCCCUGGGCCUGCACUGACGCUCAUGCACGAAAGCGUGGGGAGCAAACAGGAUUAGAUACCCUGGUAGUCCACGCCCUAAACGAUGUCAACUGGUUGUUGGGAAGGUUCCUUCUCAGUAACGUAGCUAACGCGUGAAGUUGACCGCCUGGGGAGUACGGCCGCAAGGUUGAAACUUAAAUGAAUUGACGGGGUCAUAGCUG